CCAAAUAUCCCAAGGCGCUUAGAGAACCCUGCUUAAGGAACUCGCAAAAUGACACCGUAACUUCGGGAGAAGGUGUGCCCUCGUUACGUGAUCCGCAUACGCGGGGAGCGGAAGGGGGUUGCAGAGAAUCGGGGGUAGCGACUGUUUACCAAAAACACAGCACUCUGCGAAGUCGCAAGACGACGUAUAGGGUGUGAUGCCUGCCCGGUGCUGGAAGGUUAAAGAGAGGACUCAGCCGCAAGGCAAAGGUCCGAACUGAAGCCCCAGUAAACGGCGGCCGUAACAAUAACGGUCCUAAGGUAGCGAAAUUCCUUGUCGGGUAAGUUCCGACCUGCACGAAUGGCAUAACGACUUCCCCACUGUCUCGAGCAGGGACUCAGCGAAGUAGCACUAGGGGUGAAGAUACCCUUUACCCACGGCAGGACGGAAAGACCCCGUGAACCUUCACUACAGUUUGACAUUGAUUGACGAAGUGAUUUGCGUAGGAUAGGUGGGAGGCUUUGAAGUCGGGAUUCCGGUCCUGAUGGAGCCAACGUUGAAAUACCACCCUGAUCGGUUUGGCAAUCUAACCUACACCCGUGAGCCGGGUGGGGGACACUGUCUGAUGGGUAGUUUGACUGGGGCGGUCGCCUCCCAAAAAGUAACGGAGGCGCGCGAAGUUCCCCUCAGCGUGAUUGGAAACCACGCGUCGAGUGUAAACACAUAAGGGGGAUUGACUGCGAGGCCGACGAGCCGAGCAGGUACGAAAGUAGGUGUUAGUGAUCCGGUGGCUCCACAUGGAAGGGCCAUCGCUCAACGGAUAAAAGGUACUCCGGGGAUAACAGGCUUAUCACGUCCAAGAGUUCACAUCGACGACGUGGUUUGGCACCUCGAUGUCGGCUCAUCGCAUCCUGGGGCUGAAAUCGGUCCCAAGGGUUUAGCUGUUCGCUAAUUAAAGCGGUACGCGAGCUGGGUUCAGAACGUCGUGAGACAGUUCGGUCCCUAUCCGUCGUGGGCGCAGGAUACUUGAGAGGAGCUGACUUUAGUACGAGAGGACCGAGUUGGACGGACCGCUAGUGUUCCGGUUGUGGCGCCAGCCGCAUCGCCGGGUAGCUAUGUCCGGAAGGGAUAACCGCUGAAAGCAUCUAAGCGGGAAGCCCCCCUCGAGAUUAGGUAUCCCAAAUGCCGUCAAGGCACCAGAAGACCCCGCGUAGACUACGCGGUUGAUAGGCGCGAUGUGGAAGUGCAGCAAUGCACGCAGCUAACGCGUACUAAUCGGUCGGGCGGCUUGACCAC
rnacentral:rRNA from 1 species